AUACGGAGGGUGCAAGCGUUAUCCGGAUUUAUUAGGUUUAAAGGGUCCGUAGGCGGGAAUAUAAGUCAGUGGUGAAAUCCUGCAGCUUAACUGUAGAACUGCCAUUGAUACUGUAUUUCUUGAGUUUAGUCGAGGUAGGCGGAAUGUGUAAUGUAGCGGUGAAAUGCUUAGAUAUUACACAGAACACCGAUUGCGAAGGCAGCUUACUAGGCUAUAACUGACGCUGAUGGACGAAAGCGUGGGGAGCGAACAGGAUUAGAUACCCUAGUAGUCC
rnacentral:rRNA from 1 species